GACGAACGCUGGCGGCGUGCCUAAUACAUGCAAGUCGAGCGGACCAAAGGGAGCUUGCUCCUGGAGGUCAGCGGCGAACGGGUGAGUAGCACGUGGGCAACCUGCCUGUAAGACUGGGAUAACAUCGAGAAAUCGGUGCUAAUACCGGAUAAUAAAAAGAACUGCAUGGUUCUUUUUGAAGAUGGUUUCGGCUAUCACUUACAGAUGGGCCCGCGGCGCAUUAGCUAGUUGGUGGGGUAACGGCUCACCAAGGCAACGAUGCGUAGCCGACCUGAGAGGGUGAUCGGCCACACUGGGACUGAGACACGGCCCAGACUCCUACGGGAGGCAGCAGUAGGGAAUCUUCCGCAAUGGACGAAAGUCUGACGGAGCAACGCCGCGUGAGUGAUGAAGGUUUUCGGAUCGUAAAACUCUGUUGUUAGGGAAGAACAAGUGCCGUUCGAAAGGGCGGCACCUUGACGGUACCUAACGAGAAAAGCCACGGCUAAC
rnacentral:rRNA from 1 species